CCCAGACUCCUACGGGAGGCAGCAGUGGGGAAUAUUGCACAAUGGGGGAAACCCUGAUGCAGCGACGCCGCGUGAGCGAUGAAGUAUUUCGGUAUGUAAAGCUCUAUCAGCAGGGAAGAAAAUGACGGUACCUGACUAAGAAGCCCCGGCUAACUACGUGCCAGCAGCCGCGGUAAUACGUAGGGGGCAAGCGUUAUCCGGAUUUACUGGGUGUAAAGGGAGCGUAGACGGCUGUGCAAGCCAGAUGUGAAAGCCCGGGGCCCAACCCCGGGACUGCUCUUGGAACUGCGUGGCUAGAGUGCAGGAGGGGCAGGCGGAAUUCCUGGUGUAGCGGUGAAAUGCGUAGAUAUCAGGAGGAACACCGGUGGCGAAGGCGGCCUGCUGGACUGCAACUGACGUUGAGGCCCGAAAGCGUGGGGAGCAAACAGGAUUAGAUACCCCGGUAAUC
rnacentral:rRNA from 1 species